GCUCUCAACAGAAACAAGAAAGGCUUCCCAGAACUAUCAGUAACACACUCGGCUCACUAUUCCAAGAAACUUUCCUGCCCUUUCAGCAGUGCUUUUCACCUGUGCCUAGUGCCCUCAAAGCAUGUCCACUAGAACAGCAGGUGAGGCAGGGCCUUGUGCUUCACUUCAAAACAGUCUGCUAUGUAUCAGACAUGGGGAACCAAAAACAUUCCUCAGGACAAGCAGGCCAGCUGUGCCCUUCGGUAGGAGCCUGAAGGUCAUGCUCUCCUCUGCUGGCUUUUGGCAUUACCCAACAGUUCUGUAACACAGUUUCCUCCCAAUAGAUUUUCAACAUUUCACAGUAGUGUGGAAGCAACCCCUGGCCCAGCCUUGAGAGUAGGAAAAAUGAGCCCAGGAGUGGGGCUGACAGAGGAAGCUCCUUUCUUGUGCUCUUUUCAGGUUGUAGCAAAUGCACAUCCCUCCCUCUGUGGGGUAAAACCUUCCCUAACAAAUAAACUCACUUCACACCAUCUGUACCUUCCCCAUCUCCCUUCUCCCCCAGUCCCUGUCCAAAGCAAGCUUUUCUCUGAAGGGAAAGAAAAGGUUAAUCAAGUCAUUCCUCUCUAACCAUCACCCCCCCUCACCACCAGCACUCUUUCUCUCCUUUCCCCUCCCCCUAAUCUGUGCAGCCUCAUUAAAAGAGCUUUGUAACUGUUUAGGACUGGAACAAACAAUCCAUCCACUUUGAGAGGGACUCUGGGACAGGAGUUAAGGCACUUUUCAUCUUAGGCACUAGAAAUUCUCAGCGUAUUCUGCUUAGGAGAGGGGGGUAAUGGGACUCACUACACUCCUCCAUUGUACAUGCAUACAGAGGUCAGCAAUCCUGCAAGCUGCCAGUAUAGCCAAGGAACCUCUGACAGAACAGGCAGGAGAAUGAUUUUGGGGUUGCUCAGGAAUCAGUGAGCCCCUCAGACAUCUCUCUCCCCUGCUCCCAGAGGAGUGCUUCUCUUUCCAGCCUGUCAUCAGAGCACAGGAACAGCUCUGGAGAAGGUGACCUGCUGUGUCCCAGCUGCCUAAGGGCUGUGGAAGCAGGUUUUGGUGGUUCCCCAUCGUGACGUGGUACAGAGGCACAGCAAAGGCAGGCAGCCUGGUGGGUGUGCGAUCAUUAACAGUCUAGUCACAGGCUUGUUCUCCCUCCCUCAGUGUCUGAUCACUGCCUCUUCCUAUGGCAAUACAGCUGCUAUAUCCAGGUCCCUCUGCUGGUUCAGGGCAGGAGGGGAAGAGCUCCCAGACCAUCAUCAGGAGUGACCUGUCACCAGGCUGGCAGCAAGACCCCCAGAUGAAUGAAGAUGGGCAAUAAGCAGCUGCCCCCCAUUCUCUAGGAAAGGGAGGACUGGAAGAGGACAACAGUGCAACAUCUCUAAUCCCGUAGUGCGUGAGGACUGUGCACGCCGUUCAACGCAAUCAAUCAGCUGGGAGGGUGGCAAAAGUGCCUUUCCCUCCCUUGCCUGCAUGGAAAGGCUAUCGCCACCAAUGGAGGCAGACACCUGUAGCAUCAGUGCUGCCCAGACCCAACCAUGAAACAAUUUCCCACCAUUCAUGUCUUGCUGCAGGAGCAACCUUAACAACUACCUCAGUAAGGAGUCAUCCCCCUGAACCUUCACCAGAGGAGCACCGUGAUUCCUUCAUCGCUUCUCCUUCACUUCCAGGAAAGCUGCGCUGGAUCCUACUUCCCCAACUCAGACUCUGUCAGGGCUUUUAUUUAAUGCUCUCUAAUGUGCCUGGCUAGCUCAGAUAGAUCAGCCUGAGAGCCAGAUAAAUAUUAUCAUCAAAGCACAAACCCUAGUCCUGUGUGAAGAGUCAUGCCUUCUGCCAUGCUCAGUCAUCAUCAAGCUGCCUACAUGAGAUCUGCUGGUAUUUCUAACGUUCCUAUCACCGUGGUGCCCAGACAACCAACAGACAAAUAAGGACAGAACCGUCAAUCUGCCUAAGCACUUAUACAGCCCACAUCAUCCAGGUACCUGAACCCAUAACCAUCCCUCUGCAACAUUUCCCCCCAAACUCCUGUAAUUCUCUCCUACCAUUUUUUCCACGUUAUACUGUUUCCUUAUCUGCACCAUCCUCUGGCCUAGGAGAAAAGGCAGCAUGAGGCUUUUAUGGAACUCUUGAGGACAGACAGAUCUCAACUCUACCUGAUCCGCUCUUUCCUCUUCUGGGGAAGAGGAAGGGGAGGGGAAAGGAACAAGGGGAGGGUUAAAGGGUGUUGUCACUGGACACUGAUACAGAAUUGUCUAUACUAUAGGUGGGGAACAGAUGCUACUGUACAAGUUUAUUGAGGAGCUGGGAGGCAAAGAAACCCCUGUUCUGGUUGACAGUGGAAAAACUCCUGGAGAGCAGAAACAAUUGUCCCACCAGCCAAAUCUGGCAGGAAGGCAGCAGGGAGUUGCUCUGUGCAACACUCAAGUGACAGUGCGCCUCAGUUCCCAUCGAGCACGGCCGAGCACUGCCUAAUGUGCGGCUGUCACUGGAUAAAGUAGAGAUAUAACAGGCUAGAAACAAAGCGUGCAGUGCUUGCAUGACUUCAGUUACAGCUGAAAUGGCUCCUAAUUGGGGAGUUGCCUUCCAGCACUGGUGCUGAACAAACAAUGUGAAUAACUGAUUAGUUUGCAAGCGACGUUUAUUUUCACAAUUGUGGGAGAUGAUCUGGCCCGCGCUCUCUCCAACUGCAGAGAAGAAAUGGCAGGAGAGAACUAACCUGUUAUAACCUUUAAAAUGUAAUCCAUGCCUGCCUCGUGAACAGCCACUUUCACGUGGGCACUCUGUCUAAACCCCUUAAUAUCUCUUGGCAACACAGCCCUCUUGACUCUUUAGAAAACAGAUUUAUAGGACAGGUUUGCAAAGAAAGCUGCCCUUCUUUUUUCUUUAAAAAGAGGAAAGGAGGAAGAGUUGGUUUCUAAUUCCUCAAGAAUGACAAUGAGCUAGGCAUUUUGAACUCCACUCGGCGGCACGAACCCGAGCUGGGACCCAAGGCAAAUACCGCCGAAACAGCCUUUUGCAAUGUCAGGAGACCCGAGGCUGAUGCAAGAAGGCAGCGCGCUGCCUCCCUGCCCCGCGCCCCGCCGACCGCAGCGCCCCGGCCCCAGCGGGACCCUCACGGCCGCGUCGCGCCGGGGCGCGUUCAUGUGCGCGGGCACUCCGCACGGCGCUGCCGCUGCCCCAGGGCCCCGCGGAGCUCCGGCCAGCGCUGUCCCCCCGCCGCAGCACCGCACGCACACACGCACACGUGUCGGUGCUGGGGGCACCCACUCGCACCCGACGCCAGCGGCGCGGCCGCACCGCACCGAGCAGGACCUUAUGUGGCAGAUGGAGUGGAAGAUCCCAGGCUGGCAGAUCACAGGGCUCACCAUGGACUGGUGGAAGGGGUAGGGGGAAAAGACACUGAAGAAAGAAAAUGCUAUAUUGUCAUUUAAAAGCAGGUAUUCCAAUGCUCUGCCACAGACUCAUAGUUAUCCAGGCAAAGCAUUGGCUCUAUAGAGGCACCUGCUGGCUGAGAGAAACACAUGAAAGAACCCCACCCCCUCCGCCACCUCCCCCCCCCCAAAAAAAAAGAAAUCUUUGGUUUUGGUAGAUCUUAGACCUGUUUGUCCCUUUGUUUAAUUUUAAAAGAUGUUGUGUCAACCCUUGGUGCAGUAUGUGGGGAUGUUGCCCUGGUCACACUGAUCCUGAGGAAGGCUGGGAGAUGAGUGACAGGUCUGCCUGAGCAAGGAGCAGCUCCCAUCUGGCCCCUCUACUUCCCCAGCUGCAGAGGGUUUCUGAAGAAACAAAUACCCAUCCAAAAUAACUGGAGUUCCCCAUGUUCAGGAUGCAAUUGCCAAAAAUGCCUUCCAAGAGACAGGGAGAAUUCAAACUCCCCCAGGAAAAAGAGGGGAUAUUUCAUUAACUGAAGCAAGAAGCAGAGGCAGUGACAAGUGAGUGGAGGUAACAGGACUGGUCCUCAACAGUCAGCAGGAUUGUUUUAACAUCUACGGAGACAUCAAGAAACUCAAAACAGCUCAUCCUGCCAAAAUGAUAUGUAAUGUCAGCUUCAGGGUACAGUCAUCUUGACCCUGACUUAUAUUUCCCUGGCUAAUAGAUCUGGUAGGAAUAUACACACACGGUUUUUGUGAUAGUACUUCACCUUACACUUACAUCACAUUCCCUGGAGAAGUAUCUGAUGGGGGAGCCUUACUCAUUAAAUCAUUUCCUGGAGGGGAGAAUUCAUUUGGGCUCAUUUAUUAUCAUUUGUCCUGGAGCUCAUAUUUUACAUUCUGAGCAUAAGGAGUGGGUAUUAUUCAUGGCUAUGUGUCUAAGAAGCAAAUGCUAAUUUCAAGAAAACUGUUCUAUUGUCUGAGGUUGAUCACUUGAUGUUUGUCCCAGGUGCUAUACACAUGUUGCUUGCUGAAGGAGAUAUGGCUUGAUCUCAGAUUUUGACAUUUUGGUUACUACCAAACAAAAAUAAAACUAAACUGAAGUAUGCCUAUCCCUCCCCUGAAAAUCAAGUGGCAUUUAGCAAUAUUGAUUUGAACAAUAAAUAAAUCUAUUCAACAAUCAAAUCAGAACAACUUGAGUGGGGGACCUAAAUGAGUACAAUAACAGAGACACAGAAAUUUGACAGUCCUGUGCAAAGACAAGCAAACAGGACUUCAGUCCAAAGGAACCCACAAAGCACCUAUUCUGCAUUCCAUGGGCCUCAAAGUCGCCCCAGCACCUCUCACCACACUUCAGAGCUGUAGCAAAAGCCAAAUACCACAAACAUAACUCACCACAGAAAGGGAAGAGGGCAAGGCUCUCUCCAAAGUCGUGGCAGUGGCAGGCUGUGGCUUGCACCCAUGCCCCACAGAACUGUCACCACAAUUAGCGCCAAAGAAAAAGUAGCAAACACCAACCAGUGGUGUCUAUCUGAUCCAGAAAGAACUCCCUCCUGCCCACAAAUCUGAGAGCCAGAAUAAAUUCUGGGGACACAGGGAUGGGAUCACAGGCACACCUUGCCACAGGUCACAUCUUUUCUCUGCCCACUCACUCACCAGUGCUCCCCUAGAAGGUAGAAGCCACAGAACGCCUGCCACACAGGCAUGGUGCCAACAAGUGCUGACCCAACCUCCUCUCAUC